ACGAACGCUGGCGGCAGGCUUAACACAUGCAAGUCGAACGCCCCGCAAGGGGAGUGGCAGACGGGUGAGUAACGCGUGGGAACAUACCCUUUUCUACGGAAUAGCUCUGGGAAACUGGAAUUAAUACCGUAUACGCCCUACGGGGGAAAGAUUUAUCGGGGAAGGAUUGGCCCGCGUUGGAUUAGCUAGUUGGUGGGGUAAAGGCCUACCAGGGCGACGAUCCAUAGCUGGUCUGAGAGGAUGAUCAGCCACAUUGGGACUGAGACACGGCCCAAACUCCUACGGGAGGCAGCAGUGGGGAAUAUUGGACAAUGGGCGCAAGCCUGAUCCAGCCAUGCCGCGUGAGUGAUGAAGGCCUUAGGGUUGUAAAGCUCUUUCACCGAUGAAGAUAAUGACGGUAGUCGGAGAAGAAGCCCCGGCUAACUUCGUG
rnacentral:rRNA from 1 species